UACGUAGGGGGCAAGCGUUGUCCGGAUUUAUUGGGCGUAAAGAGCGUGUAGGCGGUUUGGUAGGUCCGCUGUGAAAACUCGAGGCUCAACCUCGAGACGCCGGUGGAAACCAUCAGGCUAGAGUCCGGAAGAGGCGAGUGGAAUUCCUGGUGUAGCGGUGAAAUGCGCAGAUAUCAGGAGGAACACCAAUUGCGAAGGCAGCUCGCUGGGACGUGACUGACGCUGAGACGCGAAAGCGUGGGGAGCAAACAGG
rnacentral:rRNA from 1 species